rnacentral:rRNA from 1 species
CAGUCGUACCGGCGGAUAAUCAGCCUUUCGGGUGCGAUUCUGUGGGGCGUGAGGAGCUUAACCGCCUUCAUGUUUUGCAUAUUCGUGCACAUUUGGUGUACUUGUCCGUGUGGUGGGUUAACAUCAAUUUCGGUCGUCAUAAAAUGAUUGGAGGAAUGUAGCUUUGGUCUCGUAUCGAAGUGUUAUAGCCUUCGGUAGAUGUGGUGAUCGAGAUUGAGGAUUGCAACGGAUACCCUUCGGGGCUACCUGUCUGGUCUCUGAUCAUUGCUCUGGUGCCGAAAGCUUGCUUACGGUUAUCAAAGUCGAUGGUCAAUAGGUUAGAACGGGUUAAAUUCGUUAAGGAUGUUGACGUAAUGGCUUUAAACGACCGACUUGAAACACGGACCAAGGACGUCUAACAUAUGUAGCGAGUG